rnacentral:rRNA from 1 species
GACGAACGCUGGCGGCGUGCUUAACACAUGCAAGUCGAGCGGUAAGGCUCCUUCGGGAGUACACGAGCGGCGAACGGGUGAGUAACACGUGAGCAAUCUGCCCUUCACACUGGGAUAACCCCCGGAAACGGGAGCUAAUACCAGAUACGACCACUUCGGGCAUCCGAUGGUGGUGGAAAGUUCCGGCGGUGAAGGAUGAGCUCGCGGCCUAUCAGCUUGUUGGUGAGGUAAUGGCUCACCAAGGCUUCGACGGGUAGCCGGCCUGAGAGGGCGGCAGGCCAAACUGGGACUGAGACACGGCCCAGACUCCUACGGGAGACAGCAGUGGGGAAUAUUGGACAAUGGGCGAAGGCCUGAUCCAGCAACGCCGCGUGAGGGAUGACGGCCUUCGGGUUGUAAACCUCUUUCAGCAGGGACGAAGCGAAAGUGACGGUACCUGCAGAAGAAGGACCGGCCAACUACGUGCCAGCAGCCGCCGUAAAAC